GGUUAAGCGACUAAGCGUACACGGUGGAUGCCCUGGCAGUCAGAGGCGAUGAAGGACGUGCUAAUCUGCGUAAAGCGUCGGUAAGGUGAUAUGAACCGCUACAGCCGACGAUGUCCGAAUGGGGAAACCCGGUGCACUCAGUGCAUCAUCGCAACAUGAAUACAUAGUGUUGCGAGGCGAACCCGGGGAACUGAAACAUCUAAGUACCCGGAGGAAAAGAAAUCAACCGAGAUUCCCCCAGUAGCGGCGAGCGAACGGGGAACAGCCCAGAACCUGAAUCAGUUUGUGCGUUAGUGGAAGCGUCUGGAAAGUCGCGCGAUACCGGGUGACAGCCCCGUACACGAAAGUGCACAGAUUGUGAGUUCGAAGAGUAGGGCGGGACACGUGGUAUCCUGUCUGAAUAUGGGGGGACCAUCCUCCAAGGCUAAAUACUCCUGACUGACCGAUAGUGAACCAGUACCGUGAGGGAAAGGCGAAAAGAACCCCGGCGAGGGGAGUGAAACAGAACCUGAAACCGUGUACGUACAAGCAGUGGGAGCCUCUUUUAUGGGGUGACUGCGUACCUUUUGUAUAAUGGGUCAGCGACUUAUAUUCUGUAGCAAGGUUAACCGUAUAGGGGAGCCGCAGGGAAACCGAGUCUUAACUGGGCGUUAAGUUGCAGGGUAUAGACCCGAAACCCGGUGAUCUAGCCAUGGGCAGGUUGAAGGUUGGGUAACACUAACUGGAGGACCGAACCGACUAAUGUUGAAAAAUUAGCGGAUGACUUGUGGCUGGGGGUGAAAGGCCAAUCAAACCGGGAGAUAGCUGGUUCUCCCCGAAAGCUAUUUAGGUAGCGCCUCGUGAACUCAUCUUCGGGGGUAGAGCACUGUUUCGGCUAGGGGGCCAUCCCGGCUUACCAACCCGAUGCAAACUGCGAAUACCGGAGAAUGUUAUCACGGGAGACACACGGCGGGUGCUAACGUCCGUCGUGAAGAGGGAAACAACCCAGACCGCCAGCUAAGGUCCCAAAGUCAUGGUUAAGUGGGAAACGAUGUGGGAAGGCACAGACAGCCAGGAUGUUGGCUUAGAAGCAGCCAUCAUUUAAAGAAAGCGUAAUAGCUCACUGGUCGAGUCGGCCUGCGCGGAAGAUGUAACGGGGCUAAACCAUGCACCGAAGCUGCGGCAGCGACGCGUAUGCGUUGUUGGGUAGGGGAGCGUUCUGUAAGCCGUUGAAGGUGUGCUGUGAGGCAUGCUGGAGGUAUCAGAAGUGCGAAUGCUGACAUAAGUAACGAUAAAGCGGGUGAAAAGCCCGCUCGCCGGAAGACCAAGGGUUCCUGUUCAACGUUAAUCGGAGCAGGGUGAGUCGACCCCUAAGGCGAGGCUGAAAAGCGUAGUCGAUGGGAAGCAGGUUAAUAUUCCUGCACUUGGUGUUACUGCGAAGGGGGGACGGAGAAGGCUAGGUUAUCCGGGCGACGGUUGUCCCGGUUUAAGCGUGUAGGCUGAUAUCUUUGGUAAAUCCGGGAUAUCUUAAGGCUGAGGCGUGACGACGAGCCACCACGGUGGUGAAGUAACUGAUGCCCUGCUUCCAGGAAAAGCCUCUAAGCUCCAGGUAACACGAAAUCGUACCCCAAACCGACACAGGUGGUCAGGUAGAGAAUACCAAGGCGCUUGAGAGAACUCGGGUGAAGGAACUAGGCAAAAUGGUGCCGUAACUUCGGGAGAAGGCACGCUGUCGGUAGGUGAAGUCCCUCGCGGAUGGAGCUUGUANNNNNNNNNNNNNNNNNNNNNNNNNNNNNNNNNNNNNNNNNNNNNNNNNNNNNNNNNNNNNNNNNNNNNNNNNNNNNNNNNNNNNNNNNNNNCCGAAGGCAGUCGAAGAUACCAGCUGGCUGCAACUGUUUAUUAAAAACACAGCACUGUGCAAACACGAAAGUGGACGUAUACGGUGUGACGCCUGCCCGGUGCCGGAAGGUUAAUUGAUGGGGUUAUCCGCAAGGAGAAGCUCUUGAUCGAAGCCCCGGUAAACGGCGGCCGUAACUAUAACGGUCCUAAGGUAGCGAAAUUCCUUGUCGGGUAAGUUCCGACCUGCACGAAUGGCGUAAUGAUGGCCAGGCUGUCUCCACCCGAGACUCAGUGAAAUUGAAAUCGCUGUGAAGAUGCAGUGUACCCGCGGCAAGACGGAAAGACCCCGUGAACCUUUACUAUAGCUUGACACUGAACAUUGAGCCUUGAUGUGUAGGAUAGGUGGGAGGCUUUGAAGCGUGGACGCCAGUCUGCGUGGAGCCAACCUUGAAAUACCACCCUUUAAUGUUUGAUGUUCUAACGUAGGCCCGUGAUCCGGGCUGCGGACAGUGUCUGGUGGGUAGUUUGACUGGGGCGGUCUCCUCCCAAAGAGUAACGGAGGAGCACGAAGGUUGGCUAAUCCUGGUCGGACAUCAGGAGGUUAGUGCAAUGGCAUAAGCCAGCUUGACUGCGAGAGUGACGGCUCGAGCAGGUGCGAAAGCAGGUCAUAGUGAUCCGGUGGUUCUGAAUGGAAGGGCCAUCGCUCAACGGAUAAAAGGUACUCCGGGGAUAACAGGCUGAUACCGCCCAAGAGUUCAUAUCGACGGCGGUGUUUGGCACCUCGAUGUCGGCUCAUCACAUCCUGGGGCUGAAGUAGGUCCCAAGGGUACGGCUGUUCGCCGUUUAAAGUGGUACGCGAGCUGGGUUUAGAACGUCGUGAGACAGUUCGGUCCCUAUCUGCCGUGGGCGCUGGAGAAUUGAGGGGGGUUGCUCCUAGUACGAGAGGACCGGAGUGAACGCACCACUGGUGUUCGGGUUGUCAUGCCAAUGGCACUGCCCGGUAGCUAAGUGCGGAAAAGAUAAGUGCUGAAAGCAUCUAAGCACGAAACUUGCCCCGAGAUGAGUUCUCCCUGACUCCUUGAGAGUCCUGAAGGGACGUUGAAGACUACGACGUUGAUAGGCCGGAUGUGUAAGCGCAGCGAUGCGUUGAGCUAACCGGUACUAAUGACCCGUGAGGCUUAACCUU
rnacentral:rRNA from 1 species